UACGAAGGGGGCUAGCGUUGCUCGGAAUUACUGGGCGUAAAGGGCGCGUAGGCGGCCUUCUAAGUGGAAGGGGAAAUCCCCGGGCUCAACCCGGGAACUGCGUCCGAUACUGGGAGGCUUGAAUCCGGGAGAGGGAUGUGGAAUUCCAGGUGUAGCGGUGAAAUGCGUAGAUAUCUGGAGGAACACCGGUGGCGAAGGCGGCAUCCUGGACCGGUAUUGACGCUGAGGCGCGAAAGCCAGGGGAGCAAACGGG
rnacentral:rRNA from 1 species